AGCCGAGGGCUCGCACUCUUCUGGUCUCCCAGGACUGCCCCACCUGAAGAAAUGAGUGGUGGAUUGGCUCCAAGUAAGAGCACAGUGUAUGUAUCCAGCUUGCCCUUUCCCUGACGAUGACCUGUAGCGGAUAUUUUCCAACUAUGGCAAAGUUGUAAAGGUUACCAUAAUGAAAGAUAAAGAUAUCAGGAAGAGUAAAGGGGUUGCAUUUAUUGUAUUUUUGCAUAAACACUGCACAAAACUGUACCAGGGCAAUACACAACAGUUAUUUGGUGGAGUGAUAAAAGCAAGCAUUGGCUGCAUUGCUACUGACAAUGGAAGAGCAGCUGUGUUCAUCCGAAGGCGAAACUACUUGGAUAAAUCCAAGUGUUAUGAAUGUGGGGAAAGUGGACAUUUAAGUUAUGCCUGUCUGAAAAAUAUGCUUGGAGAACGUGGGCCUCCAAAGAAGAAAGAAAAAAAGAAAAAAAAGAAAGUUCCUGAAUCAGAAGAAAUUGAGGAAUAGAAGAAAGUAAAGAUGAAGGGGAGAAUCCUGCUCUUGACAGCCUGAGUCAGGCCACAGCAUUCCAGCAAGCCAAAAUUGAAGAACAA